rnacentral:rRNA from 1 species
GAUGAACGCUGGCGGCGUGCCUAAUACAUGCAAGUCGAGCGAACGGACGAGAAGCUUGCUUCUCUGAUGUUAGCGGCGGACGGGUGAGUAACACGUGGAUAACCUACCUAUAAGACUGGGAUAACUUCGGGAAACCGGAGCUAAUACCGGAUAAUAUUUUGAACCGCAUGGUUCAAAAGUGAAAGACGGUCUUGCUGUCACUUAUAGAUGGAUCCGCGCUGCAUUAGCUAGUUGGUAAGGUAACGGCUUACCAAGGCAACGAUGCAUAGCCGACCUGAGAGGGUGAUCGGCCACACUGGAACUGAGACACGGUCCAGACUCCUACGGGAGGCAGCAGUAGGGAAUCUUCCGCAAUGGGCGAAAGCCUGACGGAGCAACGCCGCGUGAGUGACGAAGGUCUUCGGAUCGUAAAACUCUGUUAUUAGGGAAGAACAUAUGUGUAAGUAACUGUGCACAUCUUGACGGUACCUAAUCAGAAAGCCACGGCUAACUACGUGCCAGCAGCCGCGGUAAUACGUAGGUGGCAAGCGUUAUCCGGAAUUAUUGGGCGUAAAGCGCGCGUAGGCGGUUUUUUAAGUCUGAUGUGAAAGCCCACGGCUCAACCGUGGAGGGUCAUUGGAAACUGGAAAACUUGAGUGCAGAAGAGGAAAGUGGAAUUCCAUGUGUAGCGGUGAAAUGCGCAGAGAUAUGGAGGAACACCAGUGGCGAAGGCGACUUUCUGGUCUGUAACUGACGCUGAUGUGCGAAAGCGUGGGGAUCAAACAGGAUUAGAUACCCUGGUAGUCCACGCCGUAAACGAUGAGUGCUAAGUGUUAGGGGGUUUCCGCCCCUUAGUGCUGCAGCUAACGCAUUAAGCACUCCGCCUGGGGAGUACGACCGCAAGGUUGAAACUCAAAGGAAUUGACGGGGACCCGCACAAGCGGUGGAGCAUGUGGUUUAAUUCGAAGCAACGCGAAGAACCUUACCAAAUCUUGACAUCCUUUGACAACUCUAGAGAUAGAGCCUUCCCCUUCGGGGGACAGAGUGACAGGUGGUGCAUGGUUGUCGUCAGCUCGUGUCGUGAGAUGUUGGGUUAAGUCCCGCAACGAGCGCAACCCUUAAGCUUAGUUGCCAUCAUUAAGUUGGGCACUCUAAGUUGACUGCCGGUGACAAACCGGAGGAAGGUGGGGAUGACGUCAAAUCAUCAUGCCCCUUAUGAUUUGGGCUACACACGUGCUACAAUGGACAAUACAAAGGGCAGCGAAACCGCGAGGUCAAGCAAAUCCCAUAAAGUUGUUCUCAGUUCGGAUUGUAGUCUGCAACUCGACUACAUGAAGCUGGAAUCGCUAGUAAUCGUAGAUCAGCAUGCUACGGUGAAUACUUUCCCGGGUCU